UAAUGCUUCUGUGAUUUGUAGCCUGUGUACAUAUUUAAAGGAAGUGAAACAUUUCAGUCGAAGUUUAGGACAAACAAGGCAGAAUUUUCUCUCCUGUUCUCAGGUUCACAGACCACAUGAUAAGGAGCUUUGCUCAGCUGGUCUCCUAAGUCUCUGUGCUGUGAGAGGUCCUGGCCCCAACUUCUCUCUGUCUUAUCUCGUUUGCAUCACAGCCUCCUGCAUGCUCUCUGACCUUUAUGCAGUACCCCUGCACCCAUGAUCCGGGUCACAUCAGGUCUGGUUUUGCAAUCUCAGGGUUUGAUGGAAGAACCCACCUUUCAUGCUUCACUAUUUAGAGAAGGCUAGAUUCAUUUUAAAAGCACAAUGUACCCCAAAAUCACCUGAAGCAUUUGAUAAAAUCCAUAUUUCUAUACCCCUCAAUUUGAGUUGAUGUGUCUGGGGAGAGGCUCUGGUUUCUAUAUUUUAAAGAACUCCCUAAAUGCUUCUGAGGAAGGUGCUCCUUGAACAAAAUGGUGCUUCUGCUAAGAGACAAGCCUUUUCCAUCUUGGAAACUAUUAUCUUACUAUCCUAUAUUCUGGGCAGGAGAUGAAUGGACAGCUUGUAUGUAGUGGUGUGAUAUACAGACAGGUAUGGCAGCUACAAGAAUGUGGAAGUGUGGAAGGAAGAAAGAAAGGAAAAGAAAAAGGAGAGGGGGGAGAAAAGCAGAAAGGAAGAUAAAAAGAAAAUAAAGAAGAAAGAAACUAAUAAAGGAAGGAAAGAAGGAAAAAGGGAGGAAAGAAAGAAGGAUAAAAAGGAAAGAAAGGAAGAGAGGGAGAAAGAAAAGGAAAGAAAGAAGGAAGAAAAGGAGGAGGAAAGAAGGCUGGAAAAAAGGAAGAAAAGAAAGGAAGAAAAAGAAGGGAGGAAGAAAAGAAGGGAAGGAAAGAAAGAAGAAGGAGUAAAGGAAGACAGAAGAAAGAAAGGGAAAAGCAAGGGAAAAGAUGUUGUAAGUGCUUUUAAACCUAUGGGAAAAGAAAUUUUUAUGAGCAGAAUCCAGAGAUAAUAUAAAUCAGGAAGAAGAAAGAUAGAUUGAUUUUGAAAUUCAACAAGUAUUUAUUAUAUGGUUGCUGUAUUCUAAGUCAGGGGUUGAAAACUCAAACACAUAGAAGAGCCAGGAAAGAUGGUGCUAAUAUAAAAGACUCAGGGUUCUCUCAGUCUUCUACUUUUCCAAUUUGAAGGAAACAGCUUGGCUGCAUAAGAAAAACAAAAGGCUGAAUGUAAGUUUAUGCUGUCAAACUUUGGUUCGCAGCAUCAGGCAUGGCUACCUAGGGCCUUCCUCUGUGUACACAUGAAAUCUAUCUUCCAUAUUCUCCCAUUUCUCAAGAAAAUUUGACAUUUUAUAGAAAUCUCUUUAUGAAUAAGUGUUGGAAACUAUUCCAGUACUAUUUCUGCAAAACAAAUUUACUAAAAAUGUAUCUGCUUUAAAAUGACCAUUUUAUUUUUCCCAUGGAUUAUUUUGGUUGGAAUUCACAGGCAAAGUAGAGCUGUCCUUUUCUUUACUCCACCAUGUCUGAAGCCUCAGCUGGAAAGCGAGGGUAAUGACUGAGCAUCUGGAGGCUAGGAUCACCUAGAGGCUCACUUACAUGUCUGGUGCUUAAGCGGGGAAGACUCAGGGAUCAGGACUAUUAAUUGGAGCAACUUAAUGUGGCUUCCCCAUGUGGCUUGACAUCAUGGUGGCCUCAUGGUAGUGGGGCUCAUUCCAUUAUAGUUUAGAGCAUCAAGCACAAGUGUUCCUGCCAACAAGGAGGGAGCUGCAUGGCCUUUUAUGAUCCAGUCUUAGAAGUCAUACAAUGUCACAAUAUGUUUGACUGUAUUGGUCAAAACUCUUAUAAGCCCAACCACAUUCAAGGAGAGAAAGAUAGUUUCUAUCUCUUGAUGGGGAAGUGAGAGGUUUACAUUCUGGAAGAGCAUGAGAGCGAGAGAUAUUAUUGCAGGCAUCUUUGAAAAAUAGAAUCUACUGUAGAAAUCUUUCUUGGCUGUCCCAGACUGGAUUGGGUGCUUCCUCUACACUUCCUUUGGUUAGAGCUCUACUCACGCUGUGUCAUGGCUCCAUGAAGCAGAAGCAAUUCUAUUUCUCUUAGCAUCUAGAGUGUCCAGCACAUUGCCUGCCUCCAUGAGAGACUUCAUACCUGUUUGUUGAAUCCAUGAAUGCUGCAGCUGAGGCCUUUGCUUGGAUAAUUUCCCUCACGUCAGCUCUAGGAGGUAGGAAGUGUUGGAACGACUACCAUCCAGUUGACAAAACUGAAGCUAAAUUGCUCAGCAUCACACAGCCAGUAAGUGCUGGAGGCACAAUUGGAACUCAGGCAGUCAUGGAUGGUAACAUCUUCACUGGUCAGCCAAAUUGAUAACAUGUGGCAGAGCCUUGCAGUUUCACCUUGAAAGCGUGAAAUUGUGAAGUGAUCCCUCGAUCUGGAGGCAAAACCAUGAGACAUCGCACACUCCAGCUUCAUACCUCAGGCAGCUGCUAGCAUUGAUCUGCAAAGGGGGCCCUGCCUCUUCUGUCUCCACCUGUUUCUUGAAAGCCAAAGCAGAGUGACUCAUCAGCGACCUAAUGCAGCAAAGAAGACAAAUCAGCAGUGCUCUGAGGCUGGACAGAGAGGAGGGUGCUUACGUCGAAGAAGCCCAGGAAAAUCCCUGCAUGUGACCAGGAAGGAGAGAGGCCAGACUCUAGAGACGAACAGCCAGGGGCCAAAAGGGUAGUCAAAUGUGGUGCACAGGGCAUGCAUCUUCAGCCAGCCUGGCAAAGGUUCAGAACGAGCUCUGUAACCUCCUGGGCAUGUGACCUGCGACAGGGUCUCACUCUGUCACCCAGACUGGAUCACAGUGGCACGAUCUCAGUUCACCACAACCUCUGCCUCCCAGGCUCGAGGGAUUCUCCUGUCUCAGCCUCCUGAGUAGCUCAGACUACAGAAGAUUCUGAUCCUGAGAAAUAUGCCUGGGAUUUUGGGGAUGACUGAUCCAUUCAAUAACAUCUAUAAAUCAGCUCCUCUAAGUCGUUCUUCUCUAGGUUCUACAGGGAACCCACAGGGAGGAAGGAUGAAACUUGGGACUGAUAUGGCCACAGAUACCUGAGCUUGAAAACUUUGGUGGAAGUUAAUGCCUCUUUGCUCUCCUUCAUGCAUUUGCUAUCAUAGUGCUACUUUUAAUAUCUUUACUUUGUGGGCUAAAUAGCCGCCAUGUUUGCAUGCUGCUUUUAAAAUUUCGUAAAACCAUUAGAGAAUAUAUUUAAAAGGAAUGAUUCCUCCCUCUCCUCCAUUCUUUCCAUAUCAUGUUGAGGCAAUAAAGACAUAAACAAAGUCAACUGACACAGUUUCCAAGAAGAUUAAAUAGGAAAAAGAUGGCUAAGGUAAGCUACCCUGAAGUUUGGUGUACCCAGAGACAUGAUUUUUCACCUUGAUCUUGACUGAUGUAAUUAAUUUAGUAGGCAUGUAUAAUAGAAAGACUAUAAAAGUGUACAAAAUGCUUUAGUCUUUAAAGGGCACACGAAUCUCUUAGAUAAUUAGCCAUUGGGCAUGAGCCUAUGCCAGGUGAGGUGUCAACUAUAUACAACAGUAGGGACUGAGAGACAGGAAAGACCCUUUCUGGCUGGAAUAACUAAAGAAGGUUUAUGGAAGAAAAGGUGUCUUGUAUGGGUCUUAAAAUAAGGGUAGGGUACUCUUAGGCAGGCAUUGAGGGGGAAGGCGACAUGCACAAAAGCAUACCACUGUGAAAAGGCAAGGGAUAACGGGAACAUAAAGCUCGAAGAUGUUGCAUAAGGCACUGCAGGAAGAAUGAGACUAGAAAAGUAGGUGGAACCUGAUUUUCUGAAACCUUGAAGCCAGGCUGAGGAGGUGAAGGGGGACUAGUGGAGUCUUUAGAAAUGGGUGAGGUAGAGAAGGACAUGAUUAAAAUGUCACCUUCAGGAGAUUGCUGCCAUGUGGAGUACAGAAUUUGUGGGAGUAGGGAGGAACAGUGAUUAGGGAAGUCUGUUAGGAGGCUUCUGCUGUGCACUUCAAGUAUUAAAGUGCAUGAAUUAAUGGGUGAUAACAGAGGCUCGCCAUGUCCAGCUUCUUGCCUUUAAGUCAAUUCUCAACCUACUGUUAUUUGGUUUCCUCUACUGUACACAUUCUGGACAGAAUUUAUUAUCUCCCUCUCAGAUCUGCUCCUCCUCUUAUAUUCUGUCUCACUCGUGACACCACCAGUGUCAGCCAAGCCAAAUAAUUUCAGGUCAAUCCUGGCUCCUCUCUCUGCUGAACCCAUCUUUAUCCCAUCAGUCUCAAGUCUUCCUUAUCUAACCACAUAAAUGUUUCUUAAAUCAGCCCCUGGUGUCAAAGCAUGCUGUCUCUAGUUAGCUCAUGCUAUCAUUGUACAAUCACAGUGGUCUCUCUCAUCCAGCCAUAACAAAAUAGUGUAGCAGUUCAACAUUUGAAUUUGAACCCAAACUUCCUGGGUUCAAAUCCACACUCUCACACUUUUAGCUCUAUAGCCGUGGACAGAUUUACCUCUUUCUGCUUCCAUUUCUUUAUCUGUAAGAUGGCAAAGCAGAGUAGGCUGUUAGGAGAGUUACAUGAGCUAAUUAAUAUUUGCCUGGCACUUAGAAUGACAUCUGGCAUGUCAUAGGUGCUAUAUUAUGUUUUCUGUUUUAAUUAAUAUAGGAAAUAAUCCACCUUCCACUCAUGCAUGAUGUUAACCAUGCCUCUCUUCCCUAACUCUGUAGGCUGGAACCUAAACUGGGUAACAGAAUGUGGGAACUUUUCCGUGGCCUGGACCUUGCUUCAUCUUCCCAUCUUAUCUCCUAUGCUCGCCUCAGUUUGUGUUCAGAUAAUACUGUAUCACAUGUGGUUCUCCAAGUCCGCCACACUCAACCAUGCCUUCCUGGUUCUCCUCCAAAGAGUUGGCCUGCUUGCCUUGUCCCCAUCCCUCUUUCCUCAGUACUGCUUACUCAUUCCUGAAAUGCCAGCUCAGUCAUCAUUCCCCCCCCAGGCAGCCUUCCGUGAAUGUGCCUCUCCUCUCUACCUACAAGAUAAUGUUAUCAUGGCACAAAUAGUAUAGUGCUGAAAUCAUCUUUAUGAUCCUGCUUCCAGAUCUGAUUGAAAACUUCUUGAGGGCAGGAGCUAUGUCACAUUCAUCUUCAAACCCCACAGAGAAAAGGGCCAUGCUAGAUAUAUAGUAGGUUUUCACCAGCAUUUAUUGAACUAAAGAAAAGAAUUCAACAGGGUUGGCAGUUAACUAAACGUGGAAGCAGCAAGACAGAGGGAGAUUGGAAGCUGAUUCCAAAGUUUGAAGUCCAAGUUAACUCAAAGAUCAAGGUCAUAUUUAUAGAAACAGGGAAGUCAGAAGGAGGAACUUUUUUGAAAAGAAAAAAACCCCACAACCCUAAUGAGUUAAUUUUUAAACAAACUGAGUUGGAAAUGCCAACAAAACAUGCAGUUAGAAAAUGGACUAUGUGGCACUACUAGAAAAAGGCCAUGGUAGAUUUGAGGGUCACUGAAUUUGUCAGAGUUCAGUAGAUUAUGCUGCCUAACAAACAGCCCCCAUAUCCCAGUGGCUUAUAAUAGCAAAAGCCUAUGGCUGCUCACACAGCAUGUCUCCUGUGAGUCAGUUGCAGCUCUGCCUGGGGCUUUGUUACUCCGUUCAAGGCUACAUGUGCAUCUGGUGCAUACUGUUCUCACAGUGAAAGGUCAGAAUAAGAAGAGGCAAGGAGCCAUCCAAGCAAGCACACUUAAAGUCUUGCUCAGAAGUGACAUACAUAAUUUCCACUCACAUCCUUUGGCCAAAGCAAGCCCCAUAGCCAAGUCUGAGGUCAAUGGAGUGAGGAGGCAUGACAAUGACAAGGGAAUGAAAUAUUCUUAAUAUUGUACUCAGCACAGUGAGGAUAGAUGGAAUUAUGUAGAUCGGAUCAUACACUUAAUUUUCCAUUGGAGGGGAAAGAAAAACCAAAGAAGGAAGAAAGAAAAUAGCAUAAAGGUAAUUAGAGAGGUAGAGAAGAGAACUAAAACUAUGAGUUAGAUGCACGUUUUAAAAGACAGGAAUCCAAGGGAAGGUAGGUUCAUUGUCCAAUACUGCAGAUGUCAAUGAAAAUGAGAACUGCAUGUGACUAUGAGGAGGAGAUCGGAGCCACCUAAGAGAAAGGAUUCAUUAGCUAUCUUGAGCACAUUUCUGCACAGAUUUCUGGUCAAGUUAUAUGUGGCUAAUAGAGAUUUAAGAUAACUUUCAUUGGAGAUUGUUUAGAAUAGAUUUUCACAGCAAUGCUACAGCAGCUGAAUCAUGUGGAUUAGACAGUCAGCUAAGAGCACAUAAUACAGCACUUGUAACUUUCACUGAAUAUCAGGAGAGUUGUCAGAAGGGCCAGGGAGACCCCUCCAGACCCUGGCCUUAUCUAGAGGGGAAGAUUAUUGACAGUAGCUGUGUGAUCCUAUCCAGUAGACUUGCCAAGUGAAGAAUCUUUUAUAACCAAGAAAGUGAAAAAAUGAAGUGAUAGCUUUCAUCAAAAGUGGAGUGGUAGCCCUCAUGAAACAAUCAUCUCAAUGCCAUUGGGGUUUUCAAGCAGAAUCAAGUCCACCCUACAACAAACAUACGUGGAAAAGUGCAUGCAUUGGACAAAAAGUUAAGCCAACAGAUAUAUAUAUAGAGAGAGACUCAAAGGGUACAUGCUCAGGUUUGUUACUUGUAUAUAUUGCAUAAUGGUGAGGUCUGGGUUUCUAUGUACUCAUCACCCAAAUGGCGAACUUUGUACCCAGUAGGUAAUUUUUCAGUCUCAUCCCCUCCCACUCUCCUCCCUUUUGGGGUCCCCAGUGUUUCGACUUCCUUCUAGAUGUCCAUGUGUACCCAUUGUUUAGCUCCCACUUAUAAGUGAGAACAUAUGAUAUUUGAUUUUCUGUUUUAGAUUUAUUUCACUUAGAAUAAUGGCCCCCAGCUCUAUCCACAUUGCUGCAAAAGACAUAAUUUCAUUCUUUUUAUGGCUUUGUAGUGUUCCAUGGUGUAUAUAUACUACACUUUCUGUAUCCAGACAUCCAUUGAUGGAUACCUAGGGUUCUUCCAUGGCUUUGCUAUUGUGGCUCGUGUAUAAUAACCAUGAGUGCAGGUCUCUCUUUGAUAUAACAAUUUCAUUUCCUUUUGGUAGAUACCCAGUAGAGAGAUUGUUGGGAGGAAUGGUAGCUCUACUUUCAGUUCUUUGAAAAAUCUGCAUACUGUUUUCCAUAGAGGUUUCAAUAAAUCCUUACUGUCUCAUCAAAAUAUACAUUGGAUAGUUUUGUGGCCAUCAUAUAAAAUAUGUUAGUUAGUAUAUAGCUGCUAUUUACCUUUUUUGCUUCUCCAGCUUCUUGCAAAUGUACUUAGCUUUAUUUGUUCUGAAUGAAUAGGUGUUUCCAGGUACCUGAAUGUCAUGAUUUGGAUUGUGUCCCUAGAAAGAUAUGGUGAAGUCCUAACUCCCAGGACCUCAGAAUAUGACUUUAUUUGGAAAUAGGUCAUUGCAAAUGAAAUUAGUUAAUAUGAGGUCAUUCUGGAGUAGUGACGGCCUUAAUCCAAUAUCACUGGUGUCCUUAGAAGAGGAGGAGAAGAGACAUACAAGGGAGGAAUGCCAUGUGAUGACAGAGGCAGAGACUGAGGUGCUGUAGCUGCAAGCCAGGAAAUGCUAGGAAUUGCCAGCAAAUCACAAGAAGCUAGGAAGGGACGAAUGAGGUUUUCCCAUACGGAUUUCAGAGGGAGCAAAGUCCUUCCAAUACCUCGAUUUUGGACUUCUACCUCCAGAACUGUAAAAGAAUAAAUUUCUGGGUUUUUUUUUUUUUUUUUUUUUUUGAGACCGAGUUUUGCUCCUGUUACCCAGGCCAGAGUGCAAUGGCAUGAUCUUGGCUCACUGCAACCUCCACCUCCUGGGUUUAAGCAAUUCUCCUGCCUCAGCCUCCCGAGUAGCUGGGACUACAGGCGUGUGCCAACAUGCCCAUCUAAUUUUUGUAUUUUUAGUAGAGACGGGGUUUCCUUGUGUUGACCAGUAUGGUCUCAAUCUCUUGACCUCAUGAUCCACCCGCCUCGGCCUCCCUAAAUGCUGGGAUUAUAGGUGUGAGCCACCACUCCCAGCCAAAUUUCUGUUAUUUUAAGCCACCCAGUUUGUGGUUCCUUCUUACAGUAGUCCUAGGAAAGUAAUAUACUUGAAAAUACAUCUUGAAAAGCAAUAAUGCAGCUUUUGAAAUGUUUGCUGAUGACUAUUUCAAGAAAUUUUAAUUAUUUUAACUAGUAGUAUUCUUUUUCUUUAAGUUAAAAAUCUGUAGCAGUAUGAGAGAUUGAUAGAAUUCCAUUCUUUAUGAAGAUGUAGGAAAAAGUGUGUUCGGUAAUAGUCACAUUCACCUGCCAAUGACUUGCGAAUUAAGCAACAUUCCUCUAAGAAUGCUCUUUUGGAAACCUACUUUAAAGAGUUGCUAGUCUUGUUUGCCUUGUUUGCCUUUUUGUGUUAAAAGUUUAAAUUUUAGUUUGAGGUACAUAUUUUCAGAAACUCAAAGGAAACUCCCUUGAGAUGUUUAGGAAUUGUAACUGCUUUGAGGAGAGAGAGAGUGCAAAGAGUCUCAUUUGAUUAAAUAAACUACUUCUGCUUAUUGUUUGAAACGCAGCCACAGUAGAAUCUUUAUAUUCCAUCAUUUGCUUUUUCCUGAGAAGUUCUUGGCACAUAUGAACUGGAGGGUACAAUGCAAAGGACAUUAGGCUUUCAAUCUGGGAAUGCCUGUGAGACAGCUGACCAGUACUUCAGAAUGUCUACUUGGAAACUAUGGUGGAAUGUUUGUAUAGGUACAUAAGAGGGCACAGACAUGGACACCAAGAUGCAGAGAGACAUCUGAAUGUGGAAGCAACUCUUAUACCCAUUUAAUGUCCACCAUUUUUAUUUUACAGGAAAAGCCCAGGGAUAUGCCCAAGGCCACUCAUGCCAAGUAUGGACUAGGUUAAAUUCUACUGAACUCAUCAAGGGCUUGCUAAGCACCAACUGUGUGCUUCUGUUGGCCAUAGUCACCUGCAAAUUUUAAUAUAUCCAGAGCAUGUAGUUAUAUAAGUAUUGUUCUUACAAAUCUCUAGAUAAGACAACCAAGUACAAGGCAGGUAUUGCUACUCCCCCAGUGUCACAUAGCAGGGAAAUGGCAGAAGGGAGUCUGGAACCCAAGUCUCCUCCUGCCAAUCCAGUAACUUACAAUUAUAUUACAACUUGAAAAAUAUGAGCACCACAGUUCAUUUUCACAUAUGGUUAUAUAUAAGACACAUAAAUUUGCCCUAAUUAUACCCCCUCACUUUCAGAGGAGUAAUCCUCAACCCAAACUCCAGUCUGCUGAAGAUAUUCUCAUCAACAGCUUUGUUUUAUUUUAAACCAAGGCUUUCUUUCCACUCUGAAAUGCCACCAGCAAUUAUAGGACCAGAAGGAAAAUCCAUUUCAGUUCAACUGUUGUCAUAAAAUAUUAAUCAUCUCGGCAAGCAGCCAUGUCCAAACUGCCUGUAUUCUGCAUCGAUAUUUUCUUUAGAAACAUACCAAUACCUGUGUAUCCAUAGAGAAUGCAAGAGCUUGCAAAUAUUUUGAGCAUUUAGAGGCUAAUCACUGCUGAGUCACAAGAAAAUUCUCUUCUUUGUCUUGAUGCCAAUGGUUGUGCCAUUAAAUAAAAAAAAAUGGCAUUGCUGCUGUAUCCUUGGUACCAUGGAGAUUCAUGGAUUUCCUUUGAAUUUUUCAGCUCUACUCAGGAGCCCAGUUCAAGAGCCAAGAGCCCACCUAGUUGAAGUCCCUCAUGAGGGCACCCCAAAGGGAGAAUUUGGCUGGGAAAAGGCCAACGUUAGAUAGAAAACCUUGGGAUUAACUGACUAAAGAUGUAACCAACCAUAAUAAAAAUAAAAGGUACUUGUUUGGGACACCUAUUAUAGGCCUGGAACUUUCUACACAUUAUUACUAUCACAAACUAGGGAUGCUUACAAACUAGGAAUGCUUCUCAACAUUUUCCAGAAAUUGAUGCUGUGAGUUUUAUGUUACUCCGGUUUGUCCAACUAGAAAGUGGCAGGCCUGAGGCUGAGAGACAGGAGUGUACAACUUAAAGAUUCCAUUCUUUCGGCCAGGCACGGUGGCUCACGCUGGUAAUCCCAGCACUUUGGGAGGCUGAAGUGGGUGGAUCACUAGGUCAGGAGUUCAAAACCAGCCUGGCCAAGAUGGUGAAACCCUGUCUCUACAAAACAAACAAACAAAAACAACAACAACAACAACAAAAUUAGCCAGGCGUGGUGGCAGGCACCUGUAAACCCAGCUAGGACGCUGAGGCAGAGAAUUGCUUGAACUCAGGAGGCGGAGGUUGCAAUGAGUCAAGAUCAUGCCACUGCACUCCAGCCGGGUGACAGAAAGAGACUCCAUCUCAGACAAAAAAAAAAAAAAAAAUUCCAUUCUUUCUAUACCAUGGUAUUGCCCUCAAAAUACUACCUCCAACUUAUUGAUUACUAAUAGAAUAGGAAGUGCUCAGCACUAUCCUUACAGCACUACUCUCAUAGCCUUCCUGCUUAUAAAUAGGCAUCAUCAUCAUUUUGCAAAUGGAGAAGACGAAGCUAAAGAAGUUCCAUUUAUGAUAGUGAAAGAGGGUCCUAUCCCACAGAGCCAGGGCUCUGGGCCACAAACCCUUCCAGCCAGGCUGCCUGUCAAUGGAUCAAUAAAAUGGAAGCUCCAUGCACUUAAGACAGAAAUUUCAGUAGCUGGAGUUCAGCUAGUGACCUAAAACGCUGAUCUGCUCUUUACAACCCUCAGAUUCCCUCUAGAAAUGCCUGCUUUCCACCCGAGUUUCCUUGAGCCCCACAAGAUGGGUGUUGAUACUCACAAGUUGGCUCUGUUAUCAAACAAAUUCCCUAAAAGGUCAUGGAGACCAAGGUCCCGAGAAAUCACUGCAUCCUGGAUAGCCCAUUAGUUAAUCUUAAUAAAGUGAUAAGUAUUGUUCUUGGCACAUGGAAGGCUCGUUAUAAUUAUUUAUCAUCAGGGCGCAUUGGCCCACGUGUGUAACCCCAGCACUUUGGGAAGCUGAAGCAAGCAGAUCACUUGAGGUCAGAAGUUCAUGACCAGACUGGCCAACCUGGUGAAACCCCAUCUCUACACAAAAACUAGCCAGGUGUGGUGGUACAUGCCUGUAAUCCCAGCUAAAUUCUAAAAAAUAAACAAAGAAUAAUUGUUUAUUAUCCUAUUUAUAGCAACAUUAGUGCAUAGAAUUUCCUAUUGCCACAUCAAGCCCACGUUUCAUUUUCUCCUACCUUUCUUUAGAAAUGCUACCCAAUAAUUGAUGAAAGCUAACAUGAGUAAUGAGAGUUAUUGUCAUAAUAUAUCCUCUGACAUGCUGCCUUAAGGAGACUCUAGCAUUACUUUUUUGGUGUUCCUGUCAAAAAUGCAUAACUUCAACCUAAUCAUGAGAAGAAAAUAUAUCAGACAAAUCCAAAUGGAGAGACUUUCUUUGAAAGAACUGAGCAGUACUCUUCACAGGUGAAAAUAUCAUAAAAGAAAAGGAAAGACUGAAAAAAAAACUGUCACAGGUUGAGAAAAAGCAAGGUGAAAAACAACUAAAUGGAAUGUGUGAUUCUAGAUUAGAUCCUAUAACAUAAAGAGGCUGUUCUUGGAAAAAUGAGGACAAUUCAAAAAACAUCUGUAGUUUAGUUAACAUUGAACUAUGAAAUUCAACUAAAGUUGACCUGAGGAUGCCUUCAUACUUUGAGGCCUUAACAAAUGGCAACCUAAGUAUAUAAACUAACUGAAAGCCUAACUUUAUUAUUUUGUGAUAAAUAGCCUUGUCUCAGUCAAUCACAGGCUUCCAGUGAUCAGCCAUGUUCAAAUAAGGCAAACACAGAACGGUAGCCAGUAAAGCUGUCUCUGUACCUCACUUCCAUUUUCUGUUAAUAGCAGCUGCCUCCCCGCAUUGUGAAGGGAGCUCUCUGAAUGUUUUCUGGUUCUGAGGGCUGUCCAAUUUGAGUACUGUUCUCUGCUCAAUUAAGUUCUGUUAAACUUAAUUUUUCUAGUUUUUCUUUUAACAGUAGUAAUGUUAACGGCCCUGUUUUGAUCACUGUAUUAGGUCAUAUAAAGAGUUAGUAUCAGAGGAAGGGGGUAAAGGGAAUUCAGGAAUUCUUCGUACUAUUUUUGCAACUUUUCUGUAAAUCUAAAAUUAGUUUAAAGUUUUGGUUGGUAGGUCGAGAGAAAGCUUAAAAUCAGACUGAGGAGGCAAAAUCAGACUGGUUGGGUUGGAAUCCCAGUUCAACCACCUCUGACCUGUGUGGCUUCAGACAAGUUCCCUAACCCUAUCUAAGCUUGGGUUUCUCAAUUGUCAAAUGUGAACAGUAACAGCUAUCUCACAGGUUUGUUACAAGUACAGACGAUAACACAUGUAAAUUGUGUAGCAUAGUGUUUGACACACGUUAGGUAUGCAAACUAGAAGCUAUUGUCAUUGCCUUUAAUCAGUAUAGGUCAUUUUUCCUCCAAGUUGGGUACAUAAUCAAAAAUAAUCCUCAACAGGGCAUUGACUGGUAGCUGUUUAUUGUAUUACCUUUCUAGGAAUAUUUGCAUUUUAAUAAAAUGAGUUUGAUGCUGCUAGAGAAUUCAGUGGCGACUGUAUUUUCUAAAGGUGUCCUCAACAAUAUCUGCCAUCCUACAGUCUUUUCUAGAAUCUUUUCAUUCCUCCAUCGAGGGUAGAAUCUAUGUGCCCUCCUUUUGUGUAUGUUAAGAUUUUGUAAAUGCCUUGGCUGAUAGUGUGGUAGAAGUGGUGGCAUGUGAUUUCCAAGGAUAGGUCUUUAGCCUGUUCUCUUGGGUUGCUCAUUCUUGGAACAUAGCCACCAUGCUGUAAUAAAAUCCAAGCAGCUCUUUAAUAAAAAUAAAUAGAUAGGCAUGUUGUCAUGCACCUGUAAUUCAGCUACUUGGGAGGCUGAAACAGGAAGAUCACUUGAAUUCAGGAGUUUGAGGCUACGGUGAGAACCGAUCAUGCCACUGCAUUGCAGCAGUUUAUGGAGAGGUCAGUGUGGCCUCUGACCAUAUCCCUAGCUGAGCUCCCAGAUGACAGUCAGCACCCACUGGCCAUCCAUGUGAAUUAACUGUCUUGACAGCACGUAGUCCAGCUCCCGGUCAAGCCACUCAGCCAACACCACACGGAGAAGAGAUGGCCAGCCCCAUCACUCCCUCCUCCACUUGCAAAUUUAUAAGCAAAAUAUAUUAUUGUUAUUUUUACCCAUUAAGCUUUUGGGUGAUGGUUUACUAGACACAUCUUUAUAACAUAUCAUGACAGAAAAUUCUCAUAGAGAAGGGACCAGGAAUAGAAAUGGGAUUUUUAAAAAUGUGAACAGACUUGAGAACUGGAGCUAGGAAUGGGCUUGGGUGGACUUGAGGAAGAUUGGUGAACUUGAACUUUGUUCAUCCUUUCUACAGUGCAAGAGAACUAAAAAGUACUUUUGCCCAGUGGACUAGAAAUGGGAACAAAGUGAGAAUAUCUAAGAUGGGGCCAAUAAAGUAGGGCAGGCCCCUGGUGUAAUUUCUCAGAAAAAAUGGUGUCCAGAGUCAAUAUCAAAGUUAGCCCCCAGGGCUGGCCUACUGUAGUAGACCAACAUUGAGGUUUGAGGUGCCAAUUAAUGGUGCUACUUUUUCCUUCUUGCUUUAAAUCAAUUGAGAACAGACCCAAUAAGAAUUCAAGUCCAGUAUCAGUGUUUUGACCUUCAGAUUAAGGAUUUCCUGUAUUUCGUGUUUGGGAAAGACAGGGCUUGAGUUUAAGGGCAAAGGAGGGCUGCCCACUCCUUCACAUCCUCGUCUAGAACUAAAGAAGACCCGGGUUUGUGGAGCAGACACUGGAUAGAUCAUGGAGAUCACUCCCUGGCUCACAGCCUAGAGAGAAGCUCUCACAUUUUUAGGCCUAUCUCUAAGAGGCCAGCCCCACCUGACCUGCACCAGGAGUGCUUCCUACAGGGAAGCAGAUAGAAUCGACAGCUGCGAGCAGAGACCUGCCAGAGACAGGGCCAAAAAUAAAGAGCCCAGUCCACAUGGAGAACUGACUCUGCCCCAUCUCACCAUGAACUAAAAAUAGAUCAUUCUUUACAAGACAGUAAGAAGCAGCUUCCUCCCCAUACCUUCUGAGAGGGCAAAAUGUCCUAGGUAGAGUCUGAGCCAAGGCUUUGGGUGAGAAGAGCAGUUUUUAAAUAAGUGCAGGCAUGUGUCUAUGUAGCACAGGGGUUUUCAAAGUUAAGUGAGCAUCAGAAUCACUUAGGCUUGCUGAAAUAGAUUGCUGGACCGCACCUCAGUUUCUAAUUCAAUAGGUCCGGGUUUAAACCUGAGAAAGUGUUUUAUUAUUUGAUUUUAAGAGUCUGGGUCUCGCUCUGUCACCCAGGCUGGAGUGCAGUGGUGUAAUCAUAGCUCACUGCAGCCUCAGACUCCUGAGAGCAAGCGAUCCUCCCACUUCAGCCUCCCUACUGUAUUCCCAGUAGCUGGGAGUACAGGCAUGCACUACUAUGCACAGCUCAUUUUGUUUCUUUUGUUUUUUUAAAGAAUGGGGUCUCACCAUGUUGCCUGCACUAGUCUCAAAUUCCUAGUCUCAAAUGAUCCUCCCAUGUCGGCCUCCCAAAGUACUGGGAUUACAGGAGUGAGGUACUGGGCCUGGUUGAAAAAUUGUGUUUCUAACAAAUCCUAGGUGAUGAUGACACUGGAGCUGGUCCAGAGGCCAUUGUACAUUUUAUAAUUCAGAAGACACCUACAAACAUCUUAUCUUGUUUAAUUCUCACAUCAUUCGUCAUUGACAAAUGAGGGAACUGUGGCUGAUGAGGACUGAGGGUCUUAUCUAAGCUCAUACGACACUACGCGAAAGAACUAGGCUUCAAAUCUGUCUAAUGAUGGAAAUGUGAAGAUUCUAUUCACUGAACUAUAGCUGUUUCCUGGAGUAAGCGCAAAACACAGAGAGAAAAUCAGGCAUCUUAUAGGCAUUUAAGAAACAGAGGUGGAUGCUUUGUAUGCUCAUCAUUUUAAAAAUGGGAUUAUUGUUAAUUUUGCAAUUCCUUUUGAAAAAUUCCAAAAUUUCUUGUAAAUAUUGAGGAACAAAGAACAAAAAAAACUUGUGCGUUUGUUUAAACGUUUUAUGUCAACUUAGAGCAGCAAAGGCAGGAAGGGCUGAGUGCCCUUUAGGAACAACCAUGGUUGUACUAGCAGCCACGCUGUUGCCUAGAGACCGGGCAAAACUUGAUGUUAUUACACAAGGGAGUUGCUGGCUAUCACUGAUAAUUCUUUUUUUUAAAAAAUCGUUCACUGAAAAGCCUUAACCAAAACAAGUUCAUCUGCAACAGCACUAUUUCAAACAGUAUUAGGGAAGCUAUUUUGGGGAUUAUGAGAGCUUUAUAUUACUCUUUCUAUUGCCUCAUUUGGCUUGCAGUUGUGAUGUCAAACUCUCCAUUAGUUCUCCUGAUUACUUAACUAACUGUUUGAAAAACCAGGACCAAAGACCAACCAGUGAGAAGGAUUCAUGGAGGUCAUAAACUGAUGAGGGCCAUCUGCUGCUCCUCCUUUUUUAUGUUGCCAGAAUGAGGACCAGAACUCUUGUGGACAUUUCCAAAGAUUCACACCAAUUUUAUGAUACCUCCAUAUGUAUUUAUCACAGGUAUUUAUAUUUACAAGUAGAUCUUGAUGCCUUACCUAUUGUCACAAGUCUUUGUGGCUUCUUGACAACCUAGACUGUGAGGCACCUGCUCCUGCCUCAUGACCCCACUUUUUGAACCAAGGUUAUAGCAUACCUAGCCAACAGUUUCUCAGUUCUUGUGAUGUGUGUGUAUUUGUGUGUGUGUGUGUGUGUGUGUGUGUGUGUAAAUGAAGGUAGAGGAUUGAAAAAUACCAACGAUUUUUUUAAAAAAAACAAUUGAUACUCUUCACUGAAUAAUAACAUGCUUAUAAAAGUUCACAAAUUAUUAAGUGCAGAUGUUGGUGAAUUUUCACAAACUGAACACACCUGAGUAAUCAGAUUAAUAAACAAAAGUUACAAGUUCCAUGGAAAUUCCUAUCGUGUUCCUUUCUUGUCACUACUCCAACCAAGGAUAACCCCUAUUUCUGACUUCUAACACUAUAUAUGAAUUUUAGACACAUAUAUAAAUAUAUCAUAUAGUAUACUCUUUUGUAUCUGACAUAAGAAAUAUCCAUAGUGAGGCUGGGCAUGGUGGCUCACACCUGUAAUCCCAACACUUUGGGAGGCUGAGGCAGGCAGAUAACUUGAGGUCAGGAGUUUGAGAGCAACCUGGCCAAUAUGGUGAAACCCCAUCUCUACUAAAAAUACAAAAAAUUAGCCAGGUGUUGUGGCAGGUGCCUGUAGUCCCAGUUAUUCAGGAGGCUGAGGCAGGAGAAUCAUUUGAACCCGGGAAGUGGAGGUUGCAGUGUGCUGAGGGUGCAGUGUGCCAAGGUCCCACCACUGCACUCCAGCUUGGGCGACAGACCAAGACUCCAUCUCAAAAACAAAAACAAAGAAAAAGAAAUAUCCAUAGUGUUAUGUGUAUUUAUAUACUGUCGACUCUCAUUGCUGUCUAGUAAUCUAUAUGUUUACCACAAUUUAUUGAUUCAUUCCACUGUCAAUGAGUACUCAAGUAAUUUUCAUUUUGGAGAUAUAAAUAGCACUGUUAUAAAUAUCCUACUACAUGUCUGUCGAUGCUCAUAUGUAUGUGUUCCUAUUGCAUAUACACCUGGGAGUGAAGUUGCCAGGUCACAAGUUUGCGUAUGUUAUGUUUAGUGCAUACUGCCAGUUUUGAAAAAUACUGGGCUCAAUUUACAUUACCCUACACACAGCAUGAGAAUUUUGUUUGCCCCACAUCCUUGCCAACAGUAGGUAUUGCCAGAGGUUUUUAUUUCAGCCAUUCUGGUGAGGGUAUUUGGUAACUCGUUUUAGUUUUAAUUCACAGAUGUUAGAUAUUUGGAUAUUGCCUAGUUGAAGUGCCAGUGUAAGCCUUUUGCCCAUAUUUCCAUAUCUUCCUUAACUUAAAAUCUCCUUAUAUCUUCUCUACUCUCUUCACUCCUUUCCGUUAAAAACCCCAAAUAUCCAACAGCAUGUAGACAAUUACACUGUGGCACAUUCAUUCACCAGCACACUAUGCAAUAAUAAAAAAUAAAUACUCUCUGGAUACCCAUAGCAUACAUAAACUCAAAACUCUCAUGAUGAGCCAAACACAAAAGAAUACAUGUAAUAUUCUACUUGUAUGACAUUCUAAAACAGGCAAAACCAGUGUAGAGUGACACAACAGAUCAGUGGUUUCUGGGAAUCAGGAGGCAGAGUUGACUGCAAAAAGGCACGAGGGAACAUUUUAAUGUGAUGGAAAUGUCCUGUCUUGAUUUCAGUAGUGGUGACAUGGGUCUUCACAUUUAUCAUAACUCUGAACUAUAUACUUAAAAUGGAUAAUUUAAUUGUAUUAAAUUACACCCCAGUAAAGAUUAUUUAAAAAAAAAAAAAAAACUUUUACUGAGCCCUACCAUUUGUAACCCAUAGGAUACAGUGAAAUUAGCACUUUUCAUGGGCCACAGUGAUCAGUCAAGAUGCCCAUAGACCCAUGUGUACUCUACCCAAGAAUCCUAUCUUUCUAGAAGGAAAGGCCAAGUUGGCAACACCUUUUGAAAUAACCAUUUUGAUUGAAGACAUCACAAAAGGCUGGUUCUAGCUACCUUGGCCACCUCACACCCCACAAAUGGUUUUGUUUCCGCUCACUUACGGCUGCCUGCCAGUCACCCAGUGAGCAAGCCAGCACACUUAACAAGCUGGCCCAUCACCACAUUUGAAAUAUACAAUGCAAACGCAGGCUUUUCCAACCCUGGGCUGGGGAAACAAACCUCCCCAGUGAGUUUUCCCAACAUUUUACCUUUAGAAGCCAAACUGCAGUCAUUUUUUCCUUUGACUCUCAAGGGAAAUCUGACGGGGACCACAUUUCAGAGCUUGUCUCCCAUACAGCACCAGAGCUGCGGUAUUUUAAUAGCCUUUUUCGGCCCCUCCCCUGGGAACAUAUUAUUAUGUGAUCAUUAGUGAUGGGCAAACCUCACUGGGUUUCCAGGUUUGAGUCUGUGCCAGAAGUUCAGAGUUCCUCCUUUCUUGACAACUCAAAAUCUUCCCUAUUUUUUCAUUUUUACUCAUUCAUUUGUUUUUGUGUGCUUUGCUCAGUUUCUUCUAUCUAUCUGAGCACACUCUCCAGCCUGUUCUCCACUUUACAUCACAGAAGACAGGAAGGAGAUCGGGCAGGAAGCAUGAGUUUCUUGCUAGUUUCUCUCUGCUGAGGUGCCCUGGAUGAGACAGAAUUGUAAUCAGGUCCCAGUUAUUGGUACAGCCAGAAAAGGGUGACUAGACACCUGCUGUACCCCCAUGACCACAAUUCUGGGGGUGCCCAGUGAGUUUGUAGGUGAAUAAUGGAUAAAGGCUUUUCUUAGAAGGGUUACCAUUCCAACUGGGAUGCUGGGACAAACAGGCCAAUAAAUGUAUUGACAACGGCAUGCAGACAUUGCCGCACCAAUAUAUUUUAAGGACUAAGCAGUCAAGGGUACAGGAAGGCUGAAUACUGUGCAUUAAGAUGUUGUAAACAAAUGUGUACAUUCUUCAUUUGUGGUGACAAUUGCUGUUUCUGGAAUAUUAGAAUAAGACACUGAACUCAUUAUUUUGAAACUCAAACACUCUAACUGAUGAGUCCUAUCUAUAUUUCCUCCUCUAGAGAAUGGGAACACUAGUAUUUAUUCCCUGAGCUAUAUUGGUGGUUAUGGAUCUAAUUGAAGUACUGAAUUUAUAAGUUAAAGAUUACAUUCAAGUCAAAUCCUCGACCACAAGGCUGACACUCAAGCCUGUGUUUGUAAACUGGACCCACCAGUCAGGGUCAUGAGGACAGUGGGGACAGUGGGGACACAUAGUCUCAAGCCCUUCCCAUCUUCCAUUAAAGGAAUCCCAGAAUACAGCAUGUCCCAUGACCUUGUAGAAAGCUGGGAAUGUCCAGGUCAGAGGCAACAGCUGGCCUAGGAGGGCUGCCAGAAUUUCCGGGACACUGAUGCAUUCAGAAUAGGAGAAAAGGGAACAUUGGAGGGGGUGCCUGGCAGGGGGGAAAGGGAAAGGAAAGGAAAGCAGAGGGAGCUCAGAACUGAUAAAUUCAGAUUUGUGUGUUUCACUCACCCUGAAAACACUGGUGAGUCACUUAUACUAGUUUGUCUUUUCUCCUUAACACAUUUUCCCAUUUGUCUGAAACUAUACUGUGUCUGCUAUGAAUAACUUCACACAGUUACAACACAAAAUUUGUUUUUCUGCCCAAAAAGCAGCCACUUGUUUUUGGACCAGAUUUUCCCAAAGUGUACUAAAUCAGGGAGAUCAUUUCUGCCAUGGUUAAGGCCUCCCCACUGCUUUCUGUGAGGCUGCACUCCUUAACAUACCUGUUUCUUACAGAAAUUUGCUACCAGACUAAGGAGAUUUGUGUCCUAUUCAUUUUUUUCUUUUGUUUUCUUUACCAAAUACCUUGGUUCUCCCUUAACCUUUGUUUAUUGUAUUGAUUGCUAUUUGUAGACAGUCUUGGGGCAGAACAAUAAUAUGUGUUCAGAAUACUGUAAUUUAUGAGUAUUGUCAUUUUAUGAUUGCUUUGAUUUUUUGUUUGUUUGUAGAAAGUGAUUUAUUUAGAGACAGAGAAACAGGAGGAAGAAAAAGAAAGAAACAGCUAACUCUCACGCUGAGUGAGAGAAUCCAGAAAGAUGGAAUCCAGGAGAGGAAAGCAGCUUCCACACUGAGUGGAAAGGAACAGAGAGAGACGGAGUUUAGGAGGGGAAGACAGGCUUCCACUAGAGAGUGUGGAAGAUUGCACUGAUUUUUAUUUUAAAAGUGGUUUUACAAAGUGAAAAUUGACAGAAGGUAGAAAUGCGUCGAAUAGAGGAUGAUAUCCGAAAUGCACAAAAUGUCUAAGACAAGAAAGGUAACUAGAUUUCAUCUCAGGUGCCAACUCCAUCAAUUAGCAGUGACUGCUGGCAAUGUUGUUCUAAGACGGAACCUGAGGCCCUUCCAGGCUUAGCAGGAAAAAGGGCCAGGAGUUGAUUAGUAAUGUCUGCCACAGCAGAGUUGAUUAGUAAUGUCUGCCACAGUGGAGCCUUUAUGGUAGGUGGGGACACAUAUUGAGUAGGGUGUCAACACAAACAUUAUAUACAUUUUAUUUCUGGUCUUGGCAAAAUGUUCAUUCAAACAACUAAUAUGUCAAAGAAGUUGUGUAGGAACUGACCAAACUGAAUAGAGACCUGAGCAUUUCCUUUUGAGUAUGUAGCUGGAUCAAAACACAUCUCAUCAUACUCUUAACCCAAUGAUUCCUCAUCUAUGUAAUCAUAUUUUUAUCCUGUCACCUAAGUAAAUGACUUGGAGAUUGCCCCUAGUUUCAGUUGUAAGCAAUAAAAACACACUUAAAAUUUGCACUGGAAAUUGAAAAUCGCUUUCAUGUAUACACAUUCAACAUGCUAUCCACCCCCUGCUGCCUUCGGCAUCUUUCUAGCGUCAUGUUCCUUGUGCCUCCUAGAAAAAAGUGUGGGACUGAUGCUAGAAGAAAGAGAGGAAUUUAAAUGAAGAAAUGAUGUUGUCAUUAUUUGUAAUUAUUGAUUCGCUUUUCUUGUUUACCUAGAAAACAGGUGGAAAAUAGAAGAAAGAGAUUUUUGGCCUCAGCCAGGACUGAGAAACCAAGUCUAGUUAGUGAGUCAAAAAACAAAUGGUAUCCCCUCUUUUAUUAUGUAAAAUCUCAUAAAUGCAUUAUCUAUAUGAAAUGUCCUUGGACAAGUCUUAAAUAUUUUCUUUACUUAAACUCUAAUAAAUUUGGUUGCUAAUCUAUAAAGAAAAUGAAUGUACACUUUCUAGUGUUAAACAGUAACUUUCUGUGUGUAUCUGUGUGUGUGUCUGUGUGUGUGUGUAAGAACCUCAAUUCUGCUGGUCAUAGGUGGUGUAGCUAAAGCAGGGAUUAUUUAUUUACAUAGGAUCAAAAAUAAUAUGACAUAUAUACAUGUUUAUAGUAGGUUCUCAAAAAGCACAGAUGUAUAUAAUCGUGCCAAUGAGAAGAACAUUUUCUUUAUAGCAUUGUAUUAAUCAGCCCUUGCCAUAAUGAAGCUGCAUAACAAAUCACCCCAAAACUUGGGGGCUUACAACAAUAAGCCUUUGUGUUUCUCACUCAUGCUUCUGCAGUGAUGCUGGGACUAUUCUGCUUCAGAUGAGGAGUUGACUAGGGUUGGCUCUAGGCUUUAGGUUGGGUUCAAAUCUGUUCCAUGAUCACAUUUUGGGGCUUAAAAUAAUGAGGCUGUUGCUACCUGUGUUAUACUCUUUGUAUGGUGAUCACAAGAGUAGAAGAGGUGAGCAAAACAGCCUUUUCUGGGAACUCUCCCACAGUCAUUUCUACCCACAUUUCACUAAUUAAAGUGAGCCAUAUGGCCAACCCCACCAUCAAUGGAUAGAAAAAUUGAGUUUGUGUUUAGAAAAAUAAACUGCAAAGUUACACGGCAAAAGGGUCACACCUUUUGUGAAAAUAGGAAGUGCCAAGGAAUUGAGAAAAUGAACCAACUUACCAAAAAUAUUAAGAGGUUCUAUUUAAAACAUUAAAUAGGGAAGUGGUAUCAUGAGGUAGAUAAUGGUGAUAAUAGUAGUUAGUGUUACAAAUCAGGCUUUGGAGCCAGGGUAAUCUGAGUUUGAAGACUGGCAUCAUUCCUUUCUGACCAUGUGGCUUCAACAACAGGCAGGCCUUGCAAAUGCUAGAACUGGAAAAGCAUUCAUCAGCAAGACUUUGUGGAUAUCUAUCCCUGUGCUCUUCCAAGAAUGAGAAUCAGUUACUCUUCGCUUGUACGUUUCUUCACUUGGGCAUUUCGAGUUCCUUGAAGAUAUUAUCUAAUAAACCCAGCUAAUGUUGUGCCAGUUGGGGCAUAUAAUUUUGCAACAGGAUGCCAUUGGCUAGUCUGUGACCAAGGCGUGUGCAUACUUCAGGUUCAAUCAGCUGUGAUGGUGAGGGUGGAGGGGGAGUCAUACAUAAUAAGAUUUCCUUAGCAGACAUGGCUGGUUGUCUACCAAAGACUUAGGCUUUUAGAGAAAAGCUGUUAUUGGGCUGCAGUGACCUUUCCUACAUUUCCCAGACCCUCUUGAAUCUAGGUUGGGUCAUGUGACUAAGGUUCCCCAGUAAAAUAUAAACAGAGAUGUUGUGUACCACUUCCAAACAAGGGAGUCAAGAAGCUGAUGCCUUUUCUACUCUCCAAUUUCCCAGUCAGUAUUUAAAUGGAGAGAACUCUAAGACCCUAGAGGAGGACAGAGCCACAAUAGGGAAAGAGGUUGGGUAACUGAUCACAUGGAAGACUUCCUGUGAAUGAGAUAUCAACAUUUAAACUCAAUACUUUAAAAAAAAGUUGGUCAAUAAAGACUAUUUCACAGGGUUGGAACAGAGCAACUGCCCCUAGAAGGUGCUGAUGGCAGAGUAGUCAUUGGGAUUGGGGUGUGGAAUGAAGCAAAACAUAAAAGGCUAAUCAGCAGAGCAAAGACUUGAGCUCAAAGGUCUGAACAUGCCCCACUUGGAGGCUUCCCUGAUGUCACACUCAGAGAAGGUUGAAUUCAAUAGGAAGUCAGCUGUAACUGCCAAGGAGUAUGGCCUUUGUGAGGGAUGAGCUCCAAAUUCACACAGUUGUCCACAUUUCCACUGUCACUCAUCAGGAAGAGCUUUCACUUAACACAAGGAUGUGAGGAUUUCCUUUGUAAAUUGGUUGUUCCCCUGGAUAUGGUUUCUGAAAUAUCUGUCUUAAGGUCCAAGCUGCUCUCUCUUUCCAUUAGAAGCUCUGCUCACCCAUCUCAAUGAGUUUUAACAAAAUUUUAAAAGCCAUUGACUCUCUAGGGAAGGCUGAUUUCUCUCUUGGCCUCCAUUUGUGGCCAGCACUGGCACCAGCUAUACUUACUUAAGCUCACUGAUGAGGAGGAGGAGCAGGGAGCUGUUCUCUCAUUAAUAACCCUACUUUGAACCUAGUUUCAAGCUCAGGGCUUUGGCAGGUGAUGGCAGCCUGGGCCAGAGGACUCUGCUAAAUGAAGUCCAUCUUUGUCUGCAGGGUAUUCCAAGGCCAAAUAGGAGGGAGGAAGAAGAAAGCUCAAUCUCUCUUUCUCUCCCUCCCUCUGUCUGUGUCUCUCACUCCCUUCCUCCUCUCUCUCAUUUUCCUGACACAAAUCCAGUUAUCCAAUUGCUGCCUUCCUCCAGCUGGCACACUACCCAGGCAGUUGAAUUUACUCCAUGCUCCAACACUUUCUCUGUGAGCUGUGCUACAACUGCUUCUCUGGUUAAAGACGGUUCUGUCUUUCCUUGCCUGGAUCUAAGCUGCUUGCCUCUCAUUAACAGAGUCCAACCUCAGCCAGUGUGUUGCCACUACCACCUUGCCUAGUGCCUCCCCCUUUCUCCUGACAGACAUACCUUUAUACUGCAGGACUGACUUCCUUUUGGACCCCAAGAGUCUGCUAGCUUAGUUGCUCUCAGCCAUGGGAAUCAAAGCAGAGCUCCCUUUUAGAACUCUAUAGUCAUCAUCAUGAACAAGAACCUCCCGACAACAGUGGUGGAAUGGGGGCCUGUUCAGCUGUUGGAAACAAAGGCUUUAUUCUGAAUCUUUUCCCGACUGAUAACCAGUCUGCCAUUCUAAGUGGGAAGGGUCGGGGUGGCAGGGCAUUGAAGAGAGGGGAGGAGAGUGCAGUGCAGAAAGCUUAUUAACCUUUCCAAGAGGCUUGUGAUUCAAGCUUGUGGAGCUUAACAUUUUUUUUCUCUCCCAAUUAUUUUAAUGAUGCUGCAGAAAGUCCUAACUUCUGUGUUGAGACUGUGUUGCUGCCACAGUCUGGGCUGAUCACAUGGUAACAUUCCGACCCAGGCUUGGUCACCCCGUAAGAAAAAUCAGCUUGGGAAAACCACUCCUCCUUCUGCGUGCAUCUCAGUCUCUCUCUCUUAAGGAAAAAAAAAGUCUCAUUUUUAAGAGCUUUGAAGCUUAAGUCUUAGAUGUGAGCUUUGCUUCAGAGUUUAUUAGUUAUAUUUUAUCCCCAUUCACCACUCCCUUUGAAAAAGUUUAUAUUCUGUCAGGAUGGCAAUUAUUUGACUCUAAUUCAAACCAUUUUGUAUCAUUUAGAUCCAGGCACAUUGCUUGAUUUCAAUAAUUAAAGGAAGGUACCAAAUAUUUUUGUUGCUAAAGGAACUUUAGUCACGUAAGCCAGUUCAUCAAUCAUGUUUUUUUAAAUUUCUCAAUCUUAAUGUAUCCCUCAUCUCAUUUUGAGCGAGAAAAUUAAGCCAAUAACAUAAACCUAAGAGCCAACUACUGUAGUCUGUACUUUGAACCCAGAUACAAAAGUAAAUAUUCCUUCCUGUGAGGUUUAAGAUCAAGACGUAUUGAUUUAGGAGGUUAACUAAUACUUAGCAGGAGGCUGAUUGGGGGCUGGAGAUGUGGGAGGAAGAAGACAGGAGGAACAGAGGAGCAAAUGACUUUUUCACUUCUGUGAGUGCUUAUACAGUCUUAUCUGGAGGCACUGACACAUUUUUAGUAACCCACCAUGAACAUCAUCAGAGUUGGGAGAAUUGGAAAGAUGGUGAAAUCUUUCUGCAAGCCCAGCCCCCCUUUCCAUUUAACAAGAGCACUAGACAUUGAUGAGAUUGGAGAGAAAUCCAUUCUUGUCUGGAUUGCCACCUACAUAUAUCUUAAAGUUUUAAACUUUCAUGUACAUAUCAUCUACCAAUGGAUAAUUACACUUAUCAUAAGUGAACAGCUUGGUGAACUGUCAGAAAUUAAAUAACCCUGUGUAACAAGCACAGGGAACAUCAAUUACAUCCCUAGAAACCCCUCUCAUGCCCAUUUAUAGUCAUUAUCUCCCCAGGGGUAAUCACUAUACUAACCCCUAAUAUAAAUUAAUGUGUUUUUGAAUAUAUCAUCUCUUUUAAUCUGGUUUGGGCUAUAGAAGUGGAAUCAUAGCAUAUACUUUUGUGUCUGGCUUCUUUCACUCAGUGUUUGAGACAGUCAUCAUUGUUUUUGUGUGUACUUGCAGGCUGUUCAUUCGUUUUGCUAUGAAUAUUCCAUUGCACACCAAAAAUUGUACAUCCAUUCUGCUGUCGGUGGGCAUUAGGGCAACUUCCAGUUGGACUACUAUGAAUAGCAUUGUUACGAGCAUUCUGGUACAUAUAUUUUGGUGAAUACAUGUAUACAUCUUUGCUGUCCUUAAUUCUAGGAAAGAAAUUGUUGGAUAUAUGGUAUGCAUGUGAAUUAUUUUAGUAAAAACUGCCAAAUAGUUUUCCAAAGUGGCCAUAACCGAUUUACACUCCUGCAAGCAGCGUCUGAGAGUUCCAGUUGCUCCACAUCCUUGCCAGUGCUUCAUAUUUUCAGUGUUUACUUUCGCUCUUCUGGAGGACAUGUGGUGAUAAUUGCAUUGUAGUGUCACUUUGUAUACCUCACACACGUUAGUUUUCAUUUCUCUGCUUUAGUUAAUUUCCAGUCAUCCCCUGACCUAACAGGAGCCAACCUGACCAUCAAUUUUUUUCUUAUAAAGACUCUAUCAUUACUGAGAUUCUCAUAACACCUCCUCCGCCUACCUAUGUGGACUUUUCCUUUGGUUGAGCUCUGGUUGAGCUUAGACAUGGAGCCAGUCAAUUUAUAUUCAAUUAGCUGCUGUGUAGUGUCAUGUGCUAAGCAUUUUUCCGGUGUUGUUCUGUUUUCCCAACUGGAGACAGGGUUCCUUGGCUCUGCAGAGUCCAGCUCUGCAGGCACUGUGCACAUACAUAAAGCCACUGGGCUAAAUUCAGAUGGGCAUAGGCUAUGCCCCAUUGGACUGGACUUUGUUCUUUUCACCCAAUCAUUCGGAUGCCCAAUAUCUAGAUGCCUGAUAUUGAUCAAAACCACUUAAGAAGUUAAGUAGUGUGGAAAGUCAAGUAAUGUGGUUUAAAAAAAAAAAAAAAGGCACAGUUCUUACAGUUACAGUUGGGCUUGAAUUUCAUACUUACCAGUUUGGUUCUUUCUGAUCUUAAGAAGUUACUUUCUGGUUCUGAGCUUCAAUUUCUACAUAUACAGAAAGAAAACAGUUGUAAAGAGGAUUCUACAAGAUAACAGCAAACUGUCUGGCACAUCGUAGGUGUUGCAAAAGUUUCUUUCCUUCUAUAUGCCCUUCUUCUUUGCAUUGGUCUCAGCCUCUCAGGUUUAUAAGAGGAUAAAACUCAAAAUGCUUUGUAGCUCUUUGGUUUGGCAAUGAACAAUUCUUCCUUGUCAACCUCUCUGAAAUCAAGCAGUAUGCUAAAUGAGGUGGUGACUUUUGAAAUAAAUUUAAUAACUUUUUCAAAAAAUUUUUUUUGAAAUAAAAUUAAAGAGAAUAUCACUUCUGAAGUCUAAUUAGGGCCUUUAAUGGCAAAACUUUCUUUGAGGCAAAGCUAGUUAACAGCUUUUAUAUUAUUUCCACCUUUCUAUCUGCUUGGCCCACUAUGACAAGAAGGAGAUACCUUAAGUGCAGCUCAUGGAAGUAGCAUUCUUCUCUGCUUUUAAGUACAUGAUGAAGAUUCAGACAUCUCUGCUUUUAGAAGGGUUCUUGGAGAAGUAAAUGAGCGGAGGGAGUUGCAUAAGAAAUUUCCUGCUCUUCCCUGGAGGAUGUUGGCUGCCUUUUUCAAUACGCAGGCAAGCUCUGGAGUCACAUACUGACUUUGCCCCUUAAAAUGACUUAAGGCUUGGAAGGGUGGCCUCUAUCUUUCUUCUUUUUAAGCAUUGCUGUGCUGUGCCAGUGUGGGUUGGUGUAUCCAAAACCAAUUUGGCCGGUCCUUAGUUUGUUUCCUCUGAUAGUGCUACACUGCAGGCAGGGUUACAAAACACAGUCCAGCUGGCUGGACUUUCUGAUAUCUCAAAAUGGUUCCAUGGCCUUUAGUUGGAUUUAGUGGCCAAAAUUUUGGUAGAUUUCCCUUUCUCUUUCGUUUUAAUUUAUAGCCAAUUUCAAUGGAACCAUGCCAUAAUACAGAUCGAUGUGUAUAUACCACAGGUCAAAAACCAUGAAAUAGAAAUCUCGGAUAUUAAUUCUCUAAGCAUAUUUUUUAAUAAAGUGAUUUUCAUAUAGAUUCUUGUUCUUUGCCCUAGUAGAAGAGGAGUGAAUGGAAAUGUUAGAGUGAGAGACAUGGUAAAUGCAUUUGAUAACUUUUCCAAGGCUCUGUCAUUUAAUUUUGUACUAUGAGAAUUAAGUGUUAUUAUCUUCAUUUUAAAAAAUAAAAAGAGGCUCAAAGGAAUUUUAUAUAUUAUUAAAGGUCACACAGCUCUGUGAAGUUAGAAUUAGAUUCUUAGGUUUGACUAGAUCUCUUCCUUUUCUUCUCUUCUCUCCCACCUAGAACCCAUCCAACAUUUCUAAAUGUAUUGGAGUCAGACAUUACCUAAAUGGUCUCCAGGUCCUAUCAAGCACAGAAAUUCCCUCUCUGAGGUCCACGACAGCUCAUCAAACUUCUGGUUACCUACAAUAAUGAUUAACUCAUUCCUCUACAGGGUAACCAAUAGCCAUUUUGCAUGAUUUUUCCUCCUAGUCAAAAUUCACUUUUGUUGGAGCAGAUUCAUACCUACUCUUACCAACUCUCAAGCUGAUUGUGCACAGCUCUUCCCAACUCCACAGUUAGUGAUGCCAAUUUGGUGGCUUGAAAUCGGCUAUGAUGGGUGUGUUUACAUCACAGGAAUUAUCAAAAGCUACAGAUUAGGGCUUCUUCCUCCACAAGUAUCACCCACUCUGCUACACUGAGAACCACUUGUUAAACAUUUAUCAGCACACCAUUGCUUCCACCCUUUGGGAGUUAUUCUGCCCUUUGGCCUUCUGUAGAAGUCCAAAUCUUCUUCCAUAGCAGCCUCUCAGAAAUUUCAGAACAGCUCUUUGCCCACUCUGUCCUUCUGUGAUAGCUUUGGGAAAACCCAAGUUGGAGUUUCAGGUUGGUCUCUUAGUUGCUGUUGAACCGUGAGCAAACAAUUUAAUCUCCCUAAAUUUUAAUUUCCAUAUAUGGAAAUGAGAGAUGAUAAAAACAAUAUCUUACUGCUGAGAUGGAUGUGAACCUUAAAUGAGACAGUAGACAUAAAAUACACUGUCUAAUCUACAGAAAACUCUCAAUUAACUUUAUUAUUAGGAUGAUUAUUGUUAUUGAUCAUACCACUGAACACUUAAGAGUUAUCCAGGACUUCCAGCAAAUGGAUUGUACCUGUCAGGGUCUUGGCAGGAGCAGAGACUUAGUUACAAGGGAGUUGUAACAUACGAGACUUGGUUAAAGAGAGGUUAAUGCCCAGACCAUGUGCAGAAGAGUGAGAACAGUUGAAUAGUUAAAGAAACUAGUAAGGUAUGUUGAGACACCCAGGAUCUACCAACAGCAAGAAAUUGUAACCACCCCAAGGUCUACAGGCACACACACACACACAAAGGAGCAACAAUGCCGUGAGUGACAGCCCCAUGGGAGCUGGACUGUCACACAUGAGAUCUAGCAGGAAGAGAAGAGGGGGAGCCAUACUGUCACCUCUCUAUCUCUUUCUAACUUCCCUCCAAUCUCUUGGCAGUACCUCCAGCAGCCAGAAGCCAGAGACCACAGCAUCCUGGAUAGCAUGGUUCCAUCCAUAGAUAUCACCUCAUGGGACACAAAGCAGAAUAAUGCAAAGAGAGUGGACUGGGGCAAAGGAGGUGUGAAUGAAGAACAAUCAACAUUUGAAUUUUCGAUCUUUCAUUCAAUCUGCUGAAUCCACUUUUGGCAUCUUUUUCUUGUACAAGAUCCAGACUAAGAAACCAUGCAAAAAUUUAACUGGAAUUUAAAUUCCAGGAAAUGGUUUUGAUCCUUGAGAUUAAUUAUGCUUUAGAUUUUCUAUGAUGCAUUUAAAAAAAUCUAGACCUGGGUUUUGCAGGGUGCCCAUUAUCCUGCACUUUGAGAAUUGCCCAUAUCCCAGGCAGAAAGGUCCUGUGUUACCACUUGAUUCAUAUUGUUCCAUUCAUCAGCCUUAUCCAGUACUUGCCUUCACUUCAUUUCCUCUCUCUUUGAAACCAUGCCUCUGAGUGUCAUUGCUAUUGUCCAUUCAUGUGUGUGUUUUGUAUUUUAAGGGUCUUUAAUUGUUUGAUUCUGACAGCGUUUCCCUCCCUUUUAAACUACCUCAGAAGUCUAUUCUUUAAAGAAAUCUACAGGACCUGAAAUGUAUUAAAGACUUCAGAAUUUCUCAUAGGAUGUUUUCAUCUGUUUUUUUUUUUUUUUUUUUUUAAGAGGCAUUUUAUAGCUCAGGGAGAGCCAUUUAAAAAAUCUCAUUUUACUGAGGCACACAUGCCCCUGUUUGUUCAGAAGUCUUGACUGACAGGAACUGCUUAACCACUCACCUGUGUCUGUCUAAACCUGCCAGAUUCUAAGAGGUCAUUGACUCUUUUCAUAACUCAGUGUUUAUGCAAAGUUCUCUGUCAUUCACACAGUUAAUAAAGGUGGUGUCAUUUAGCCUUUGAAAGCUAUUUCCAGGGAUCAUUUCUUACAACAAUGAAAGAGUCAAAUAAAUCCCAAUGACCCGAGCAGAUAGAUUCUUGAGCCAGUCAAACUUCUACAUUUUUGAUGUCCAUAUUGACAUGGCUGUCUACGGAACAAGGACAGAGGUAAUGACAUUCCCCACAAGUGCUCAGGUUUAUACCGCAGAUUGAUUUCUGUCCAACCCAUUUUCAUUAACUUUUCUAUUAUAAAUAAGUCUAACUCAGGUAACAUACAUGAGUUAAGUAAAACAGGUGUAAGAAAACAUACUUUGGCACACAGAUGCUCUAGGCCUGUAUUUGUUUCUUACAUUUGAUAGAUAUGUUGGUGCAAGACAUAUUUUACUGUUAUUUAAUUCUAUAUUAAGAGAAAAAAUAUUGUGGGUGUGAUGACAAAUGGCAACAGAGGCCAGUAUUUUGGGGUAUGAAAAACCAGGGAGCAUGUGUCCCAUCUAGAGGGAUGCCCCACUGCUUUGCUCCAGCACACUGAUGCUACGUGGGAAGGAAGGCCUGGCUGGUGUUGUCAAAUCUUCUCUCUCUUUAAAAAAAGAAAGCAGGAAUAUUAGGUUUUUAUAGAAAAAUUUCCAAAUUUUAGAUUUUUGCAACAAUUUUGUAAAAGUUAAAAGGCACUUUUUAGGCCAAAUCUGAUACUUUUUAAAGCUAGAUACCACUGACUGGCCACCAGUUAGGAGCUGCUGAACUCAGUGAGACCCAAAUGCAAGGCGUCUGAGCAGUUUGACAUGGAGCAAGGAGAGGGAAUAUUUGUUCUGAUUAAUUUCCUUCUACAGUACCAAAAAUGCAGAAAUUGUGGAAUGUUCUAGAAGUCACCAGGACAGUACUCAACUGCUUUCAGGGCAGUCCUGGAUCCUGAUCACCUUCUUCCCUACUCCUCAGAGUCACCUCUUCCCAAUGCACAGACACUCUUACAUCCACACACAUGUGCAUGCAUGCGCAGACACACACACACACACACACACGCCCUGGUUACCUAAAGCUGUCUUUCCUUGAAGUCCAGUCUGUAUUUAGACAACUUAGCUUCCUGCUUGGGUAUUAUGCUAUUAGAGCUUGAAAAUAUUUCCAUAAUGACAUUCCUGUUUCACUAAGUCCUUUGAAUUCUUGAUUCAAUGUCAUUCAAAGUCAUUUGGCCAUGUGAAACCUCUGGCUCCUGAGAUCUGUGUGCAUACCCAGGUGCCUCUUUGCUGGUUGUAUGAAGUUGACUGCAGAUUUGUAAGCACUCACCUUGAUCCCAUUGAGAACAACAUCAUGUCCACUAAACACUAGGGAAAUCUUAGGGUUUUGCAAUUCCUAAGGUUGGCCGGGUGAGAAAACCCAUCUAAAUGAUUAUUUAUCAUUGUGUGGAUAAAGCUUCUCAAACAAGGGAUCAGCAUAGAUCAUUAAGUAUGCCAGAACAGUGGUUCCCAAUCUUUUUUGGCACUGGGGACCAGUUUCAUGGAAGACAAUUUCUUCAUGGAGUUGGGGCAGGGGGAUGGCUUUGAGAUGAAACUGUUCUACCUCAGAUCAGCAGGCAUUAGAUUCUCAUAAGAAGCAUGCAGCCCAGACCCCUUGCAUGCGCAGUUCACGAUAGAGUUCUCACUCCUAUUAGAAUCUAAUACCAUCACAGAUGCGGAGCUCAGGGGUGAUGCUCGCUUGCCCACAGUUCAACUUCUGCUGUGUGGCCUAGUUCCUAACAGGCCACAGAGCAGUACCAGUGGCAUUAGGUACAGGUACUGUAGUGGAUGUUGAGAACCACUGUACCAGAUGAUAUCCUUCAGUAUUUUAAGGCAUUUCAGAACAGACCUAGUGGCUCCUGCUCCUAAAAGGGAUACUACACAGUGUUGUGGUAUCUGAAUACCUUAAGGAACCAAGACAAUUCUGAAGUUAGACCCAGAGCAAGGGACAGAGGAACCCUUCCAGAGGCAAUCCCGAGGUUAGCACCCUCUAGCCCAGCCAGCCUCUAGCUUGUGACCUCAUCUCCAUCCUCUACUUCCUCUUUCAUUGCCUCUGCACUGUUUGACUGGGGUUGCCAUAAUUCUGACGUGGCCUGCUGGCUAGAUUAAGAUCUUCUGGCUUUCUGAGAUGGUCUGCAUCCUGUUUGCUACAUCUGCAUCCCUAAGCUCCUUGUGUCACUGUUUCCAACCAAAGUGUAUUAACUUUGAACCCUUGGCUCCUGAACUCUACUUUGCUAAGAGGAUGCUGGCCUUGACCUUGGAUGGAGCCCAUUUCCCACCCCCUCCAAGAGCAUCUACCUCAUGGAAAGAUAUACAAUUUCCUUCCUCUGACAACAGCCCCUCUUGCCAGGUGCUGUGCCUUGGAAACUCAGUCUUAUUUAAGAAUGAACCAUGUCCCAUCGUUUGCAUGAAGUGAAGUUGACUGAGUAUUUGUGCACAGGACAUACCAGAGUCAGAGCACUGGAAUUAUUAUUUUAUGUCUUUUCUUCUAGCUUAAAAAGGGUAUUUUUAAAAACUGAUUUCAUAAUGGACAGAAAGUAUUACGUUAUUGACCUGAAAAUAAAAAAGCAAAUGCUUAUUAAGGCUUGUUGGCCACUAUGUGUUAGAGGACAGGAAUUCCUGGUGAUGCAAUCUGCUUCAUCCAGCAGCGGAGUACAGAAAACCUUUUCAUACGUGCUAAGCUGCAAUAAAGCCUUCGUGCAAACAGUCAGCUCUGACUGUGGAUCCCAGCUUCUCUGCUGAGGUUCAGAUCCUUCAGGAUGGCACUUCCUAAUGCUCAAUUCUGUAUCCAGGCUCUCACAUUGAUGACAUGCAAGCAAAUAAAAUGGUUUAUGAGGAACGAUUGCUACCAGAUCUUGGUAGUCCUGAGGGUCAAUACAAAUGUUACUUGAGGAAAAGAAUCAUCAGCAUAAAGAUUAAUUAUCUGUUAAAUCAUGGUAGUGAGAGUAGCUUUUUCUAUUGGGUGAUGAAUUUUUAUGCAUAAGUUUGACAUAUUACACAAUUGAUAUGACACAAGCAGGGAAUGCACAGUGAGAGGCCCAUAGGAAGGUGACUAUAAGAGGAUUUGCCUGCAUCUGAGAGGUAAUUCACUGUCUUGAGCAACUCAACACCAAUGCCCACUAAAUCUAAUUACUCUAUAUAAAGAAGUAACUGCUGGAAUUACCCCUAAGUGUAUCGCAACCAUGGCCCAGUUAUUUAAUAAGAAAAUCGUAAUUCAUAUGAGUAUUUUAACAUCUUCAAUAUAGGCAACUGUUUUGUUUAUGAACUGUCAGGUCAAUAAAACAACACUACUUACUCCCUUAUAUUUUAGAUAAUAAAGAACUGCUUAUGGAGUAGCUAAGGUACAGUCAGGAAAACUAAAAUUACUCUAGGUACAUUAAACAGAAGGAAUUUAAUAGAAAGACUUGACAGAAAUGAGGAGGAAGGAAGCCAUAGAGGGGAUGGUGAGGCAACCCACAUGUUAAUAACAGCAAGAAGCAGCUACCACCUUAGCGGGAGGAAAUGCUGUUACCAGGGCCAGAAUUUGGAAGCUAUGGGGUUGGUGAGACCUCCCAGUGGAAGUUUAAAUCAUACAGGAGACAACCAUUGCCAGGGAUGUAAUCUGAAGCACAGACAGAUGGGGAAAAUUACCCUGGCUUCUUCCAUCUCCCACCCUCCAGUCUUCCAACAGAGCCUCUCUUUGCCUAAAUCUACCAGAAACUUAGGGAGAAAAGCAGCCCGAGAAAUGCAGUUACCAGAGCAGGACAUGGGAAUUAUUACAAACUGGCAAAUGACUAGUACAUUGAUGUCUCAGAAGACAAGUAUAUUUGUAUAUUUGCCCUAGAUAAUUGACCUAUCUCUUCAGUGUACUUUGACUAGUAAAUUUUAGCUCCAUUUUUAUUAUUCUGAUUUAAGAUGAAUGAAGGAAAAUCACAAUCAGGCUGUGAUGUGCUUGCCAAUAAUAUGCCCUAUGAGAUAUCUAGUUAGGUCUCUCUGUAUCCAUAUAUCUUAAUUUUUCCUUCAAUGUUCUUUGCUGUCCACCUCCUUCCAUUUUUUAUUUUAGCCUUGGGAUUGGCCACUAAACAGGAAUGAUGAUUUCAUUCAUUUUAUAACCUAAUCCCUCAGAGGGUGAGGCAAGCUGGAAGGUGGGGGAGUACAUGUUGGUAACUAUUUUAGACAUGUAAAUUUUAAAAGUUCAAAUAUCUUACCCAAUACUAGGGCAUGAGUAGGAAAAUGCCUGGUUCAAUGAUAUAAACACAGCAAACAUCAGCCCAGAAUGUAGUAGGAGAAGUGCAAGCAAAAGAAGUAUUUUAGAAGCAUCCUGCUUUUUAGACCUUAGAAGUUUCUUUGGUCAGAAUUGCUGACGUCCGUCACAGUUUCAGCAACCUUUUUACUUGCUGCCAUGGGGAUCUGUUCUCUGAAAUCCAAAAUGCAGAAUGACUUGAUUCUGAAACAUACUGAGUGCAAUCUGCUUCUAAACCUGCAAGGCAAACCUAAAAUAACAUGCAUGUUUUAUUGAACUGAUACUGCCAUGGUGUCUGUUAUUUGCCUGCAUUAUUCUAAGGAGUUAAUAAAUACUAUCGCAUUUUACUUUUUGAAGCUAUGGAAGGUACAGACAUGAGGACAGGUCAUAGGUACUGGUCUAUUAUAUCUCAUCAUUUUACAAAUGAGGAAACUGGAUUACAGAGACAUUAAGUAACAGUCCUGCAGUUGGUAGAAAAAAGUUAGCAGUUGGUAGAGCCAGGAUUUGAACCCAGGUGGUCUGGUUCUAGAGUCUGUGUUCUUAAUCAGUAAGCUAUGCUAUCCUCUUCAGUAUGACAGGUUAUUCCGACCUAUUGCACAAUCACUCACAGCUCUACUAGUGAGCAUUCCAGCAAACAAGGUGGAAGCUGCCUGCUGGCAUGAUUUGGCCUCAGAAGUUGCCUAGGGUAACUUGCCCUGUAAUCUCUUGGUCAAAGCAGUGAUGAGCCCACUCAAAACUAGGAGUGUGGGAAGAGUGUCAAAGCGUCAAAGAAUUUGCAGCCAUGCUUGAAUCCAUCACACUGGGCAAAAUACCAGAAGCAAUAACCACAAUAUACGAUACCCAGAAUGGUGUGUUGGUUUUUAUUUGCUGAAAUGACCUUACGGUUUCCUAUAUUUGGUCCUCAUUUAUCUACAGCAGGAAAUGGAAGGAAAUAGAGUCUUUCCUUUAGGCAGUUCUCUGUUCCAACUGGUAUUCUUCUAACGCCUCCCUUAACUCUGACAACCUUCUAAAUGGCAUCGGACAAGACUUCCACGGACUCAAGUUUCAUUGAUGUAGUUGUACCCAAACAGAAAAUGUUCUGUUGCCUAUAUUCAAAACACAUUGCUAAGCCAAUUUGCUCUAAAUUCUCCUGAAUUUCCUCCCCUGGGAGGAUUUUAUAACUGCCAAGUUUGAAUAUUAAAUCUUAAGGUACUUUUGAGUAAUACUCAGCAGAGAGAAAAGAAAAAAAUUAUUUUAGUAAGGUGAUGUUGGGGGGAGAGAGAGAGAGAGUGUGUGUGUGUUAUUCUCAGAGAAAAAUGUAGUUUUUCUAUUUUAACUUAACUGUAAACUACUGAACUAAUUUAGCUCAAAUCCUUUGAAUACAAGUUCAAUUUAUGGGUCCAGUGACUAUCAAAAAAUUUAAGCUGAAAAAUAAUAGGAAAAAAACUAACUCACCAAAAUUCUGUUUUUCAUUAAAAUUUGAGUUUGUGAUGAACGUGGCUGUGUAAAAAAUAGCUCUGGUGAACGCCACUGUUAAUGUCCUCCAUGACAUUUCUUUACAAUGUGUCCCAAGGGAGCAAUUUGAUUGGUAUAGAGAAAAUUUUCAAAAGAAGGUUUCCUUCUGUGUCAUGAUCUAAGACACGAAUCCCACAUGCAGACAAACAAAUAUUGGAGUGAUCAGGCUGCUUGGUCUGUUGGGUCUUUAUAGCCAAGGCUAAUUCUAAAUACAUGACUGGCUGCAAAUUUGUCCUUUCCUCUCCCACCAGUGCAGAAGCAGACAAAAGAUGGCUGUUGGAGCACAAGAGUUCACAGUAACAUUCGCUGCCACAACCUCUACAUGUGCAGACAAAAAUGUUAGAGGGGCUAGCACUGAUAUUAUUUUUAUUAAUUAAGGAUGGGUCAACAUGAAAUCAAAUCACCCAAUUAGUUCAGCAAGAACUUGAAUAAACCCAGUCAUCAGGAAUAUCCUACAUGGAAUAUCUGAAUGAUAAAUGGAGUUGACAGAGUUGACUGAAUUAGAAAGCUUUUUUGGCCUUACUAGGGAAACCAAACAUUUUAAAGUCUACAUGUGCAGUAAAGAAAGCUUAAUGUAACUUGGACUCAAGCUUAAACAGCAUAAGAAAAGGGUUCAGACCACCACUUCUGGGAUUGGCCCACCAAAAUGUGAAUACCAUUUCUUCUCCUUGGAGCUGGACGGCUUUGGAUAAAUUCUGUUACCACUCUGUGUCUUUUGUUUUUCCUCUAUAAAAUGGGAGUAAAAAACGUGUCUACUUUACAGUAUUGUGAGGAGUACCCAAAUGAGUUCAUUUUUGCUCAGAGAAAUUGGCAUGUAGGUGCUCAAUAAACUUGCUUAUCAUGUAUGCUGUAAUCAGCUUCGGCUAUUCGUGACAAUUCAUCAACAUAAUUUCUCUAGCUGCCACACAUGAGCAGUCCUACCUCCAGUAUAAUCAUCUAGUGGCCUUACGGAAGUCACUUACUGCCAGUGAACUUUGUGGAAUUAUAAGGCUAUUCUCACGUGGUGACCUCUGCUUUUAAAUCGAAGUAGCUCAAGCAUAUGAGAUACUGCACAAUACAUAAAUAGCAGAUAGGCAGAGUCUGAAGCAAAAUGGCAGAGUGAAACAUAAUAAUAACGUUUUAAAAAUAAAAAUAUUUUAAAAAAGAGAGAGAGAGAAAAUACCACUAGGGCUCAAGUAAAGAAAGAGCCCACUACUCAAAUCAACAUCUUUAAAAAGACAGGCAGAGUUAGAGACACCAGAGGCUCUGAUGUUUUCCCACCACCUCCCAAAUGCACCCCUCACCUCCAUUCUACUUCUCUAACAGAGAUUAGAGAUUGUGAGUGAACGUCUAUCUCCAAUGGGAAGAAAUGUGCCCUUGGAGGGUAUGAGGACAAUCCAGUGAAGAUGUGAGGUAUCUUCAUUAUAAAUCCUAACAAUGGAAGAGAGAUUAGAAUAUAUAAUACAAGGAAAUGACUUGAAAAAAAGCUAUUUGAAUUAGCCAAUUUAUUGACUGCGUUAUAUAAUGUGUUCUAGAACAAAUGAAUACAUGACAACAAACAGAUACAUCUUACAAAAAUUGCCACUUCAAAGAUCAAGAUAAUUUUCUUAGGAAUACAAGUAGAAAAAGAAAAUUGAGUAUAAGAUUAAAAGUCAAGCUGGCCACAGACUUAUAUACAGUAACGUCUACCAGCAGUGGUAAUACAGCAACAUCUUCAAGUUAUUUGGGAUGAAGGUGGGUAGGUAAGAUGGGGGUUCAUGUAAAAAUUCUAAACUAAGCCAAGAGGGCACACUUAUUUGAUGCCAACUGAAUUAUUUGCAAACAUUUAAAAACUAUAGCUUUUAUUAUUACAUUACUUAAUAUUUAUAAAGCACUUAGGGCCUGGCAUAUAGAAAGCAUUAUGUAACUGUUAGUUAAUUCAUUUAAUAAGAAAAAAAAAAGCCUGAAUCUCGUGAAGUCCAUAAGCUCUUCUUAAUGAAAUCUACCUUAACAAAAGAAGCUCUGAUAAGACUACAAAUGUGUGCACUGAGCCCAUUUACAUAGAAAAUUAAAAUUAAAUUAAUGUGGAACCAGGUAUAGUGGCUCACACCUCCCAGCACUUGGGAGGCUGACGCAGGGGAACGCUCGAGCUAGGAGUUUGAGACCAUCCUGGGUAACGUGGAGAAAUCCUGUGUCUACAAAUAAUUUUAAAAAUUAGCUGGCCACGGUGAUGCAUGCCUUUAGUCACAGCUACUGAGGUGACUAACCUCCUGAGCACAGGAGUUUGAGGUGAGAGGAUCACUUGAGCCCAAGGGGUUGAGGCUGCAGUGAGCUGUAAUCCUGCCACUGCAUUCCAGCCUGAGCGACAGUGGUUUUUGAAGACUGCUAUGUGCCAGGCACUGUUUUAAAUGGUAUGGAUAUAACUAUGGUCAUUCUUUGUUUAAUAUCAUUGGUAGGUUCUUAGAAACUGUGACUGUAAGUCAAAUGAGGUACAGCAGGUUCUCUAAUAAAAUGGUUCUAUUUAAAGGCACUUUAUUAUAAUUUUGGUGAGAAGAAAAUAUUUUUCGUAUACCUCUCUUCACUUACGGUUGCAGUUUCCAAGAACCUAUUGACAUGGUAAGUAAGGAAGGACAUUUUACAAACAAGACAUGCAAGAUCCCUGCUCCCUCGCACUUUAUCCUCUAGUAGGAAAAGACUAGCCAAUGCAACUAGAUAAGAUAAAAAGAAAUAGAUGGACAGGUCAAUGAAAGACUCUGAAACAUAAGUGGGAUAAUAUAGGACAAAUGUCAUUUCAAACUAGUAAUAAUAGAUAGAUAAUUCAAUAAAUGUGAUGGGAAACUGGUGAGCCAAAAUAAAUUUCAGAUGAGUCACAGAUUUCAAGAUAAAUGAUUCAUCCAUUAAAAUAGUGUGAGAAAGCACUGAUAAAUGUAUGACCUUGGAGUAUGAAAAUGCCUUUUAACUUACGGCAGAAAGCACAGAAGUCACAGAGCUAAAGAUGAGUACAUUUAACUACAUCAACAUGUAGAAUUUCUGUACAAAAAAUAUGUAAUAAGAUGAUAAGACAGUGAAUAGAUGGAAAAAUAUUUAUAACACAUUUCUGAGACAGGACACAUUUCUUUUAGAUAAAAUUCCUGAAAAAUCACUUUUUAAAGUAGAUGUGGUAAUAGUAAUACAAUGUUCUAUUGUUUGCUUGCUUUUUAUGUCAAUGAGGAAAAGGCACAGAAACCAGAAAAUUUUUAAUGGGCAAAGGAUUUGAUAAAAAACAAACUGAAAUAUAAUGGCUGGGUAUAAUAGUCAGAAAGACAGUCUCCUGCUGGCCUUGAUGAAAAAAGCAACCAAGAAUGAGUUCUACAGCUGUAAGGAAGUGAAUUCUGCCAACAACCACCAGAGCAUGGAAGAGAACCCUGAGGCUUGUACGAAACUGCAGCCUCUGUCAAAACUGAUUACAGCCUUACAAGACCCUGAGAAGAAAACUGAGUUCUUUCUGCAUUCCUGGCCCACAAAAACUCCAGGAUAAUAAAAUGGGCAUCAAGCCGCAAAGUUUAUGGUCAUUUAUUACACAGCAAUAGGUAACUAAUACACUUGCUCUUCUGGUUCAGAUAGACCAAUGGGAGAUGUCCACAAAUGUUCAGAGAGUCAGAGAAAAGAAAGGUGGAGAUACUUAUUUGCCCUUCCAGCUCCCCGGCUUCUGCCAAUGGCUUGCCUUCAACUGUGGCUUUCUUAGGGCUCUCGCAACUGCCCCUCUGUGUUCCUGGUUUGGCUUCCCAAUGUAGGGCCAUGAUACUUCAUGAUCUCUAGUCACUUCCUCUCAAUUCUGCCCACAUUUUUGUAUAAUGUUCCUUUGUUCAACCCCCUUCAACUGGCCCUUUAGAAUAUUCCAUCAUUUUCCUCCUGGGGCUCGGUCUAAGGAAUAGACUUAAUUUCUAGUAUAGUCUUAACCCUAUCCAACCCCACCUCCAAAUCUGAACUGCCUCUUUGUACUCCUCAAAACAACAUCC